rnacentral:lncRNA from 1 species
GGAGAACCUACUAACAACUGAUGGGAGUCCCAGGGGUGGAGGGAAUCAGCAAAGGCUUCCCAGUGGAGACAGAGCCAUGCCAAGCCUGGAAGGAAGCUGAGGAGCCUAAGAGGCAGGAAUGAGAAGAGAAUCUAUCCCAGGAGAGCCCCAUGAAGGCAAACAUUGAUGAGAAACUCUUCGCUCCUCACAAGGAGGGAAAGGAGGACGAUGACAAGGACCACGAACCUACUAACAACUGAUGGGAGUCCCAGGGGGGAGGGAAUCAGCAAAGGCUUCCCAGUGGAGACAGAGCCAUGCCAAGCCUGGAAGGAAGCUGAGGAGCCUAAGAGGCAGGAAUGAGAAGAGAAUCUAUCCCAGGAGGAGAUCAGGGGAGAGGAACGUUGGCAUGAGUAGGAGGCCAAGCCAGAGAACAUCAAGUGAGGUGGAACUCUUGCUGUCCCAACAGACGUGAUUAUAGAGAUGCCUGCCUCUGUGGACCAAGCUCCAACAGCAUGGGAGGGGGUCCAGCACUUUGUGUACCUGCUUGAAUGAUGAGGAUCACAGAGCAUUUAGAAGAGGGUGAGAACGGAGGAAAUGGAGGUUGCAGAUGUAGAAAACCUCGGAGAUGAGAGCAGAGAAGGUAAGAUCAAGGGAGGGGUUUCGAGGGAUAGAGGAGACAUGAGGUUGCAGGUGGCAAGGAAGCCGCCAGUAGAGGGUGAAAGAUGGAAGAUUAGGGAUGAGAGGCAGGGUAACUGGUGGUAUGGUGGAUAGAGCACUGAGCCUGGAGGCAGGAAGAGCCAGGUUCAAAUCUAGCCUCAGUUUCUUCAAAUGUAAAAUAGGGAUAAUAGUAGCAUCUACUCCCCAGGGCUGUCGUGAGGAUGGAAGGUAGGUGCUAUGUCGAAUCGCUGGAGGAGAGGGUGGAAUGGGAUCUCUUGUGCAUGUUUGCUUUGGUGAGACAGGUGAAGGAGGAGACGCUGGGGGAAGAUGUCUGAGUGGGGGGAAACGGGGAGAGAAGAGGGAGCUCACUGCACCUAAUGGCUUUUCUGGGAAGUAAGGCCAGGUUCUCAGCUGAGAGGGAGCCAUGAGGGUGAAAAGGGAUUGAGAAGGGAUGAAGAAGGUUAGAAGAGCUAGUGGCCUCAGUGCUUGCAGUAUUGCAUCAGUAAUAAUUAAGGUGGCUCGGUGGAUAGAGAGCCAGUUCUACUAGGAGAAGGGAGGUCCUGGGUUCCAAGCUGGCCUCGGGUACCUCCCGGCUGUGUGCCUAGCCCUUACCGCCUUGGAACAAACACACAGUAUUGACAUUAGAACCAAAGCUGAGGGUUUAAGAAAGUUGUGUGAGAGUUAAGGUGGCAGAAGGGGAGAACGACCCAAGGUUGGGGGUUGGCAAUGGGACAAGGAGUCGAGGGACUCUAAAGGAUAGUGCAGGGCUGGCCUGGUUCCCUGAGGGGUUGAGAUAAGGAGCCAGGAGGAUGGAGUCAGGGACGGCCUGGCAAAAGGCAAAGGCACAGAGAUUGCACAGGACCAA